CCCUGGAGCUGUGAACCCAAAAAAAACCUUUCUGCUUAUAAAUAGUCCAAAGUAAAUCUUUAUUACUCAUAAGAUUAUCACAGAUGACAAUAACAGCUUAAAACACCCCACAAACUGGCUAAGCACAUAAACACACCUGAAACACAUGCUUGAAUACGUGCAAAGGUUUCAGAGAUUCAAAAGCCUUUCACCCACACAGAGACCUUGAGUUGGAAUAACAUUUCAACCAGUUAGAAAUGGAAACGAUCUACUGAAUCAAUCAGAUUACUUAACUCAGUUGGGAAGGAGCCAGCUGGAUAAGCACUGCCUUGUGAAUGCCAUCUGAAGAGCUGGACACCACAGCAUUUUUUUCCUUUGACAAACAGUGGGGUCAGGGAAAGGCAACUGAUUUUCUGAGUUGGAGGUACUAGGUUGCAAGCUUGACCACACUAUUUAAUUGGCUGUGGGGAUGCCUAAGAGCUUAUAUCUGCAAAUUUGUACCGAUUGGGGGGAAAAAAGAUAAGAUCGUGGCUAGUUGAGUGCAUGUCACAACCUAUGAUCCCAGCACUGGGGGAGGAUGAUCAGGAGUUCCUGGCAGCCUGAGCCACAUACGGACCUUCCUCCCAACCCCCAAAAUGUAAAGAAGGAAAGCUGGUUGCAUUAACUGACUACUGUGUGAUGAAAGAAAUGGUGAUAAAUAUAUUUAUAGUGCAUAUGGUUGACAAGGGAUUACUAUGUACACUAUAUAAAGCACUCAUUCUACAGCUGUCAUUUGUGAACAAGUGUGCAGGGUAUUCAAUGGAGCAGUGGUUAUUGUAGCAAAAGUUUGGAAACAAUCCCAAGUGACUGGUCAAUUAAACUAUGGUUAUUUAGGUAGUAAAAUUCCAUGUAGCUGAAAAAGAGACCCAAGAUCCCAUCUUUGUUCCCAACUGGUCAGAUCUUAAGGAGGAUGUACUAUUAGGAAGAAAAAUGAAAAAAGAGAAAAUAAAUACAAGCUGUUACAUUUUGUGUACUUUCUAGUGUAGAUGGAAAAUUACAAUUUUUGUAAUAAAAUUAAGAUGAAGUUAACAUUGUUAGGAGUUACUGAUUUUCUUUGCUCCACAGAGUCAGAGUCACUUAGUGAUGUCUACUGAGUGAUAAGGCCCAGCUUUGAUGACCAAAUGAUGUUAGGAGGUAGCACACGUUCUUUGUCCACCUCUGUUGUUGGACAUAUAGGAUGGCUCCAUUAGCUCCUGUGAAUAGUGCUGCAAUAAAUAUUGGUGUGGAGGUAUUUCUGUGAUAAGCUGGCCUGGACUCCUUCAGAUAUAUGGACCCUAAUUACUAAUGAUCCCAUGGCAUUUUAUAUACCCUAUGCUGUAAAAUUUAUUACUUCUCAACAUAGUGAGAUUCCCGUCUAUUCAAACAGAACCCCCACAAAUAUUCAUCCGCAAGGUAAGACCUAAGGCAGAGUGACUUUCCUUAACUGUUCCAAAAGAACUUCCUCUUUUCCUAUGGCAAUUUAUCUUUUGUUUGUGUGAGUCCUGUCCCUGUCGUGUUCCCCACUCCCUUCCCCAGGGUAUCUUUGUGUAGCUUUGGUUGUCCUGGAAUUUGCUCUAUAGACCAGGCUGGGCUUGAACUCACAGAGAUCUGCUUGCCUCUGCUUCCACAUGCUGGGAUUAAAGGUGUGCGCAGGGAGCCUUUUUGCCGUUCUUUAAUGUCUCAAUUAUGACCCUUGUAAAUGCUUUUUACCCACCCAUGUCUUCUAACCUUGUUUCACAUGACAUAGGAUAUCUGCUGAAUGAACAUGAAUUGCCUUUACUCCUUCCUCUUCUGGAAGCAACUGAUAACCAACAAAGUUUUUCAUAGAAAACGGGGGACAAUAAAAAAAAUCAUUUGGGCUGGGAUCAAUUUGGGCACCAAGUUAUAGCUCUAACAGGCUUGAAACUUCCUCUCAUAUCAAAGCUUACAACCCAAGAAACUUAUUUCCUUUUAGCUGUCUAAGUUGUGGGUCAGAAUACUUUCCUAUUGGUACAAUCUCAAUCUCGUUUUUUAUGCUUGUAACCAAAGUGUCUUGUUAAGUUUCACUGUAUUUUCCUGGAGGAAAGGAAAAAAAAGAAAGCUUGAUGAAACCCAGGGCAGGCAACACUCUACCACUGAACUUACACUCUCAAACCUGUGAUUUAGCUAAGUCUUGCAUAGCUGUACAAGCUUAGAACAAAGGAUGAUGUAAUUAUCUGAUGAAAAUGUCUGUCAUGAUUUCAGUGGUAAGUUUUUUUUUUUUUAAAGAUUUUUUUUUUUAUCAUGUAUACAAAAUUUUGCUUCCAUAUAUAUUU